AUACCUUCUCGGCCUUUUGGCUAAGAUCAAGUGUAGUAUCUGUUCUUAUCAGCUUAAUUUCUGAUAUAUCGGACACUGUCCGAUUGAGAAAUUAAACUAAUUUUUUGAUGGGGGCAAGGGGUUCCCCUCGUGCUUGCGCGAGUCCCUUGCCACGGGUUGCCCUGCUAUUGCACUACCGGCAGGCGCGGCCCAACCCAC
rnacentral:snRNA from 1 species